GACGAACGCUGGCGGCGUGCUUAACACAUGCAAGUCGAACGGUAAGGCCCUUCGGGGUACACGAGUGGCGAGCGGGUGAGUAACACGUGGGUGAUCUGCCCUGCACUUCGGGAUAAGCCUGGGAAACUGGGUCUAAUACCGGAUAGGACCCUGGGAUGCAUGUCAUGGGGUGGAAAGCUUUUGCGGUGUGGGAUGGGCCCGCGGCCUAUCAGCUUGUUGGUGGGGUGAUGGCCUACCAAGGCGACGACGGGUAGCCGGCCUGAGAGGGUGACCGGGCACACUGGGACUGAGAGACGGCCCAGACUCCGACGGGAGGCAGCAGUGGGGAAUAUUGCACAAUGGGCGCAAGCCUGAUGCAGCGACGCCGCGUGAGGGAUGACGGCCUUCGGGUUGUAAACCUCUUUCAGCACCGACGAAGCGCAAGUGACGGUAGGUGCAGAAGAAGGACCGGCCAACUACGUGCCAGCCGCCGCCGUAACAC
rnacentral:rRNA from 1 species